UACGGAGGUGGCAAGCGUUGCUCGGAAUCACUGGGCGUAAAGGGCGCGUAGGUGGCGACCCAAGUCGAUGGUGAAAGCUCGUCGCUCAACGACGAGUCGGCCACCGAUACUGGGUUGCUCGAGCACUGUAGAGGCAGAUGGAAUUCCGGGUGUAGCGGUGGAAUGCGUAGAGAUCCGGAAGAAUACCGGUGGCGAAGGCGGCAUCCUGGACCAUUACUGACGCGUGAGGCGCGAAAGCUAGGGGAGCAAACGGG
rnacentral:rRNA from 1 species